rnacentral:misc_RNA from 1 species
UUUCCGUAGGUGAACCUGCGGAAGGAUCAUUAUUGAAUGAAACACUUCUGGCUUUAUGCUGUUGUGCUGGCCCUUUGGGCAAUGUGCACACGGCUCUGGUCACUUGUUUCUUCUGUUCCACCUGUGCACUGCCUGUAGACACGCUGUGUCUAUGAUAUUUGUUAACACACAACAAUGUUAGUUGGCAUGUUAUAUAUAAUAAUAAAAUAUACAACUUUCAACAACGGAUCUCUUGGCUCUCGCAUCCAUGAAGAACGCAGC